UGGACGCCCGGGCGUAUGUGCAAUGGACUAGAGAUCCAGGUCAGCUAAUCAGAUGCAGGAUAUUCACAGCACACACAGUAUACUCACAGUAUACACAGUUAACUCACAGCACACACAGUAAACUCAAAGUGAACACAGUAAACUCCCAUGUUCUGCGUUUCCUCUUUCUGUGUUAUAAUACAAUAAUUUAUGCAGGCUAGGCCAAUAGGAGUGAAGCCAGACUAUUUGUAGGUGUUAUGUAUUGGGAACUAACCCCAGCCCCGAUACUGAGGUAAUGUGUUAAAGGGGGCCUAUUAUGCUUUUUCCUUCUCCUAUUGCGCUUUACAUACGUUUUGGGGUAUAUAAGGGGCAAAGUUACAAUACCAUAAAAUUCCCGCAAGGGGGAGUAAAUGACUACCGCAAAUCACUGUAACCGAGCUACCUAGAAACGGCUCGUUGGGAUUUUCUCCGCGGCUUUCUUUUACUUCCGGUACAUGGUGACGUAAGCAUGUACUUUUGCUGGGAGUCAAUGGGAGAGCGUCAUCAAUGACCUUUUGCUGCGUUCCUGGACACGCUGGGGUCGGGGAAUGGAUCGUAAAACAAGAGUUUGAGUAGAGAAGUAGAUGGACAGAAAGACAUAACACUAUUUAUAUAUUAUAUAUAUAUAAUAAUGGCUAGAAGGUGUCUUUUCUUGGUUGUGAAGGGACCUCUCCCUUGUAUGGUUUGCCAAAGGCAGAGCCUUCACGUAGCGGUUGGCUAGAUUUCAUUUUGAACCCUAUUCCACCGACUUUACCAAGCCUUUUUCUGUGUCGCCUCCACUUCACGGAUGGCUGCUUCAGCAACCUGUGUGAAGUUGACUCUCAACAUGUAAGUAAACCUAUACUGAUAAUAACAAAAGUGGCUGUGUUGUGUGUAAUAUAAGUUGGGGUAAUUAACCCUACCAUUUCCUACCAUAAAAUAAUUCAUUCUGUAGCUAGCUGCUAGUCUUGUUGCGAGGCUGGUUAAUCUUCCACAAACCUUUUGCGGGAUCUCAAACUACAAUUCUAAACUGUCUGUAAAAUGAGAGCUAGCCUUAGCCUUAUGUGAGGUGUUACUAUAAGGUGGGUCACAGUUCCUGUUUCAGAUGUUGUUAGCUUGUACUGUGUAAAAUCAUUUUUCGUCAUGAUUUAUGUGUGAUAAUUUUAGCAGGACUGCAGUGCCCAUAAUCGCCCCUUUCAACACGUCGGAUGCCAGACUGACACGCCUCAGUUUGACGGGAACCCAAACAAACUCGCCGGUGGGAAUGUAUUCUGUGGGAAUACAAAGUGCACGGUUGAAGUCGACAUCAGGCGGCACACAGUUGUCCAUGGGAUCGCUAAAGGCACACGUAAGAAGCAAAGCCAUGCAGACACAGGUGUCUCCUGUCAGUGCAGACUUCGGAACAACCUCUCUUUUGCCACACUCACUGCUGACUUCAACACCAAUAAAGGGCCCAGGCUGGUGACCAAGCAAGAGACCACGGCUUGAGUUGGAGGAAGAGGAGGAAAGUGACUCCUCAAGUCAUUCCACAGUCUGAUACUGCGUUUUGCUCCAAAGAAUGUGUUUUUUCCCUUCAUGGGAAUGUUGUGCAGUUGUAUCUAGCAUCAAUGCACCACAAUGAAAAUGCAUCACAGGAGCAAGCUACGACUUCUGCAGGGCAGGCGAAGAGUGGGGAAGGUGUUGUGAAGGCCGUGAAAACAGAUCCAACAUUCAACCUUUCAGCGGAAUAUACACACACUCCCAAGGCUGAGCUGGUUGCCCGUCACGUCUCCCGCUUCAAUCAAGAGGUGGUCUGAAGCCUACGAAGUCACCAGAUGGGAACUGCUGCCAUAUCCGCUGCACCACACAUGACGGGAUGACGACCCGACAACUAUGUCCUAAAUAUCCCCAACAACAGCUUACAAAGCUGCGAUAGGCAAGAUGCCUGAAA